CGGUGGAGCGGUGGAGGGCGUCACUGGGUUUCGGCGUCUAGCAAGUGGUUCAGCUGUCUGCUCCCUAGCAGCCGGCCUUCGGGUCGGGCGUCUCCGUCGGCGACUGCCGCUUCAGUUCUCCCGGUGUGGCCACGAGUCGGCACAACAUUCUGAAAUUUUUUGGUUAUUGUAAUGAUGUUGAUCGGGAGUUGAGAAAAUGCCUGAAGAAUGAGGGUCUCGCUCUGUCACCUAAGCUGGAGUGCAGUAGGGUGAUCGUAACUCA
rnacentral:sRNA from 1 species